AUUAAGCAUAAAGUUAACUGUGGGAAUGAGAUUGUUAUUGAUAACUGUAAUUGUUUAUAACUUAACAUUAAUACUAGAGAGACUACUCAUUUAAUAAUAGUACUUUAUAGACGUCAUAAUAAAAAAUUUUCAGAAUUUAAAAUUCAUAACUAAAAUAUUAUCAAAUAUUAUUCAGUUAAUAAAGUCAUAGUAACAGAAGAUAUAAAUAUCAAUACUACCAAGUAGUAAAGAUAAUACUAAAUCGGAAUAUUUGAA